rfam:Comamonas aquatica DA1877 out_19, whole genome shotgun sequence.
GCGGGUGUAGUUCAAUGGUAGAACGCCAGCUUCCCAAGCUUGAUACGUGGGUUCGAUUCCCAUCACCCGCU